CUCCUGCCUCAUCCUCCCAAGUUGCUGGGACUACAGGCAAACACCACCAUGCCCAGGAGAUCUUUCAAACAGGAGUGGGACAAACCUUCUCAACCAAAUCACGAAGAAAACAGAACUCAAACAAAAUCGAGGUGGAGAAGAGGCCACUUGCAGAUGCAGCAGGGUUCAAAAGGCUCCACUGUGGGUACCUCAUGCCGCUGUUCCAAGAACCAGUAAUUCUUCCUGAGUGACUCCCCUUGGCUGAUUUCAACAUGGAUUUCAAUAUGGAAGCGGAGCUUAAUGAAAUCAGUGUGAUGCCAUCUGUGGAGUUAGCACCCCCAGGACACAGAGCAUGGAAGGAAGGGCAGACAACAGAUCUGAGCUUGAAGAACACAGAAUA